UACGGAGGGUGCAAGCGUUGUCCGGAUUUAUUGGGUUUAAAGGGUGCGUAGGCGGCCCAUUAAGUCAGUGGUGAAAGCCCACUGCUCAACAGUGGAAGUGCCAUUGAUACUGGUCGGCUUGAGUACAGACGAGGGUGGCGGAAUGGAUGGUGUAGCGGUGAAAUGCAUAGAUACCAUCAAGAACACCGAUUGCGAAGGCAGCUUCCUAGACUUUAACUGACGCUGAGGCACGAAAGCGUGGGGAGCAAAC
rnacentral:rRNA from 1 species